rnacentral:rRNA from 1 species
UACGUAGGGUGCAAGCGUUGUCCGGAAUUAUUGGGCGUAAAGAGCUCGUAGGCGGUUUGUCGCGUCUGCUGUGAAAACCCGAGGCUCAACCUCCAGCCUGCAGUGGGUACGGGCAGACUAGAGUGCGGUAGGGGAGAUUGGAAUUCCUGGUGUAGCGGUGGAAUGCGCAGAUAUCAGGAGGAACACCGAUGGCGAAGGCAGAUCUCUGGGCCGUAACUGACGCUGAGGAGCGAAAGCAUGGGGAGCGAACAGG